rnacentral:rRNA from 1 species
AUAGAUUAAGUUAUUAAGGGCGCACGGUGGAUGCCUUGGCACUAGAAGCCGACGAAGGACGUUACUAACGACGAUAUGCUUUGGGUAGCUGUAAGUAAGCGUUGAUCCAGAGAUUUCCGAAUGGGGAAACCCAGCACGAGUUAUGUCGUGUUAUCGACAAGUGAAUUCAUAGCUUGUCUGAAGGCAGACCCGGAGAACUGAAACAUCUUAGUACCCGGAGGAAGAGAAAGAAAAAUCGAUUCCCUGAGUAGCGGCGAGCGAAACGGGAAGAGCCCAAACCAAUAAGCUUGCUUAUUGGGGUUGUAGGACACUCUAUACGGAGUUAUAAAAGAAUAUAUUAAACGAAUCAUCUGGAAAGUUGAAUCAAAGAAGGUAAUAAUCCUGUAGUUGAAAAUAUAUUCUCUCUUGAGUGGAUCCUGAGUACGACGGAGC